rnacentral:tRNA from 1 species
CAGAAGAUAGUUAAAAAAAUAUAAUAUUGGCUUUGGGAGUCAAAGUUGGAGAUAAAAUUUUCUUUUCUGA